AGAGUUUGAUCCUGGCUCAGGACGAACGCUGGCGGCGUGCUUAACACAUGCAAGUCGAACGAUAACUUCAGCUCGCUCCGCGAUUAGCGGAGUACGACGGAGGACCCUGCCCCUACCACUGCCUUAACUCUGGAAAAAUGCUGUUUAAUCCCGGAUGUGGCCCGAAAUGACUCCUCUUUGUAAGGAGGGGGGGGGAAUCCUUUAUGGGGCUUCUGACGGACUCUCGGCUUGUUGGCGAGGUGAUGGCUUACUGAGGCUAUGACGGGACGGGGGUCUGACAGGAUUAUCCCCCCGACUGCCACUGAGACACGGCCCACCGGCCUACGGUUGGCAGCAGUUGGGAAUCUUGCACAAUGGGGGAAAGCCUGAUGCCGCGACGCCGCGUCGACGAUGACGGGCUUCCGUCUGUAAACUCCUUUUAUCCUGAAAGACUUAGGACGGUACCUGAAGAAUAAGCUGCGGCUAACUACGUGCCAGCAUCCGCGGUGAUACGUACGGAGCAAGCGUUGUCCGGAUUUACUGGGCGUAUAAGGCGCGUAGCGGUCUGUUAGUGUGAAGUCAAUCUUCAAGGCUCUCUCGGAAUCUGCU
rnacentral:rRNA from 1 species